rnacentral:rRNA from 1 species
GAUGAACGCUAGCGACAGGCUUAACACAUGCAAGUCGAGGGGUAGCAGGAAUUAACUUCGGUUAAUUUGCUGACGACCGGCGCACGGGUGAGUAACACGUGUAUAACUUGCCCAUCACUAAGGGAUAGCCCAUGGAAACGUGGAUUAAUACCUUAUAGUUUUACGAUAUCGCAUGGUAUUGUAAAUAAAGAAUUUCGGUGAUGGAUAGGUACGCGUCCCAUUAGGUAGUAGGUGAGGUAACGGCUCACCUAGCCGACGAUGGGUAGGGGUUCUGAGAGGAAGGUCCCCCACACUGGUACUGAGACACGGACCAGACUCCUACGGGAGGCAGCAGUGAGGAAUAUUGGUCAAUGGGCGAGAGCCUGAACCAGCCAAGUCGCGUGAAGGAUGACUGCCCUAUGGGUUGUAAACUUCUUUUAUUUGGGAAGAAUAAGCGGUACGUGUACCGUGAUGCCUGUACCAAAUGAAUAAGCAUCGGCUAACUCCGUGCCAGCCGCCGCCGUAAGAC